rfam:Serratia proteamaculans 568, complete genome.
AUUCCAAUUGGUCAGGGGAUACCGGAUAAUACGCCCCCGGUUUGCAACCGGGAAAUCAGGAGAGUACAUGUAC